rnacentral:rRNA from 1 species
CGCCUGCCCCGUGACAAAAGUUUAACGGCCGCGGUAUUUUGACCGUGCAAAGGUAGCGCAAUCACUUGUCUUUUAAAUGAAGACCUGUAUGAAUGGCAUAACGAGGGCUUAACUGUCUCCUUUUCCUAAUCAAUGAAAUUGAUCUCCCCGUGCAGAAGCGGGGAUAUGCACAUAAGACGAGAAGACCCUAUGGAGCUUUAGAUACCAAGACAGAUCUUGUUAAAUACCUCAAAAUAACGAAAUAAAACUAAAAGAAUCCUGCCCUAAUAUCUUUGGUUGGGGCGACCACGGGGAAACAAACAACCCCCAUGUGGACUGAGAAAACAAUUCUCACAACUAAGAGCCACAGCUCUAGCUAACAGAACUUCUGACCUUUAAGAUCCGGCAAUGCCGAUCAACGGACCGAGUUACCCUAGGGAUAACAGCGCAAUCCUUUUUUAGAGUUCAUAUCGACAAAAGGGUUUACGACCUCGAUGUUGGAUCAGGACAUCCUAAUGGUGCAGCCGCUAUUAAGGGUUCGUUUGUUCAACGAUUAAAGUCCU